GCUAGACUGGCUAAGAGGCCUUGCAUCCCACACAGGGUAAUCCUCUGUUCAAGGGGCAGAAAAUCUCCUUGUGGUCACCAUGGACUCAACUCCAAGACAGAUGAGGCUAGAGAAUCGGUGUCAAUUGUAUUGAACAGAUAGCAGACCCACGCCAAAGAAAAUUAAACAGAGAAUAUACUUUCAAAAGGAUGACAUCUCAGAUGUGUCUCAGGACACACCAGACCUAAGGAGAGCUCAUGAGGAAGGAGGCUCCAGCCACAGUGUAUUGCUGUGUCACCUGAGUCAAGCCACCCCAAAGAGGGACUUUGGACAGAGGAAGAAACUGUACAGGGACUCCCAAGGUUUUACAAGAGUUGGAUGAAGAAGAAGAGCAGGGAGUGGAUCAUUAGCGAAAGUGAUCAAGAAAGGACACACCCUGGGGAUGCAGACUGGGCAUCUGACUGGGCCCAGGAGCAGAGCAGCUCCAAGGAGGAGGAAGAAGCUGUAGCACAUGUGUGAUAAGGCAAAGGGUCAGUCACCUGUUGCUGUGAAAUUAGCCAAAUUUGGUAGCUUAAAAGACAAUAAACAUCUUUUAUCUCCCACAGUGUCUGUGCAUCAGAAAUUCAGAGGCAGUUUAGCUAGGCAGUUCUGGCCUGGGGUCUCUCAUGAGGUGGUAAUAAAGAC
rnacentral:lncRNA from 10 species